rnacentral:rRNA from 1 species
UACAGAGGUGGCAAGCGUUGUUCGGAAUUACUGGGCGUAAAGGGCGCGUAGGCGGCCCACUAAGUCAGACGUGAAAUCCCCCGGCUUAACCUGGGAACUGCGUCUGAUACUGGAGGGCUUGAGUAUGGGAGAGGGAUGUAGAAUUCCAGGUGUAGCGGUGAAAUGCGUAGAUAUCUGGAGGAAUACCGGUGGCGAAGGCGGGUCUCUGGGCAACAACUGACGCUGAGGAGCGAAAGCGUGGGGAGCGAACAGG